rnacentral:rRNA from 1 species
GACGAACGCUGGCGGCGUGCUUAACACAUGCAAGUCGAGCGAAAAGGCCCUGCUUUUGUGGGGUGCUCGAGUGGCGAAGGGGUGAGUAACACGUGAGUAACCUGCACUUGACUUUGGGAUAAAUUCAGGAAACAGGGGCUCAUACGGGAUAGGAGCUCUUGCUGCAUGGUGGGGGUUGGAAAGUUUCGGCGGUUGGGGCUGGACUCGCGGCUUAUCGGCUGGUUGGUGGGGUAGUGGCUUACAAAGCUUUUGACGGGUAGCCGGCCUGGGAGGGUGGCCGGCGACAAUACGACUGCGGUACGGCCCAGACUCCUAUCGGAGGCAACGGUGGGGAAUAUUACACAAUGGGCGGAAGCCUGAUGCAACAACGCCGCGUUCGGGAAGACCGGCUUCGGGUUGGAAACCGCUUUCGCCUGUGACGAGGCGGUAGUGACGGUAAUGGGUAAAGAAGCACCGGCUAACUACGUG